AAGAACUAACAAGGAUUCCCCUAGUAACUGCGAGUGAAGCGGGAAAAGCUCAAAUUUAAAAUCUGGCAGCUUCGGUUGUCCGAGUUGUAGUCUGGAGAAGCGUUUUCUGUGCUGGACCGUGUACAAGUCUCUUGGAAUAGAGCGUCGUAGAGGGUGAGAAUCCCGUCUUUGACACGGACUCCCAGUGCUUUGUGAUGCGCUCUCAAAGAGUCGAGUUGUUUGGGAAUGCAGCUCAAAAUGGGUGGUAAAUUCCAUCUAAAGCUAAAUAUUGGCGAGAGACCGAUAGCGAACAAGUACCGUGAGGGAAAGAUGAAAAGCACUUUGGAAAGAGAGUUAAACAGUACGUGAAAUUGUUGAAAGGGAAACGCUUGAAGUCAGUCGCGUUGGCCAGAACUCAGCCGUGCCCUCGCGCGGUGCAUUUUCUGGUCGACGGGCCAGCAUCAAUUUCGACCAUUGGAAAAAGGCCGCGGGAAUGUGGCACCUUCGGGUGUGUUAUAGCCUGCGGUCACAUGCAGUGGUUGGGAUUGAGGAUCUCAGCAUGCCUUCACGGUCGGGGUUCGCCCACGUUCAUGCUUAGGAUGCUGGCGUAAUGGCUUUAAACGACCCGUCUUGAAACACGGACCAAGGAGUCUAACAUGCCUGCGAGUGUUUGGGUGGAAAACCCGAGCGCGCAAUGAAAGUGAAAGUUGGGAUCCCUGUCGCGGGGAGCACCGACGCCCGGACCAGACCUUCUGUGACGGAUCCGCGGUAGAGCAUGUAUGUUGGGACCCGAAAGAUGGUGAACUAUGCCUGAAUAGGGUGAAGCCAGAGGAAACUCUGGUGGAGGCUCGUAGCGAUUCUG
rnacentral:rRNA from 1 species